GGGGGAUUUCCCGAGUGGCCAAAGGGGACAGACUGUAAAUCUGCUGGCAACGCCUUCGGUGGUUCGAAUCCACCAUCCCCCACCA
rnacentral:tRNA from 9 species